rnacentral:rRNA from 1 species
CCUACGGGCGGCAGCAGUGGGGAAUAUUGCACAAUGGGGGGAACCCUGAUGCAGCGACGCCGCGUGGGUGAAGGAGCACCUCGGUGCGUAAAGCCCUAUCGGCAGGGAAGAAAGGCGGGCGGGGCCCGUCUGGACGGUACCUGACUAAGAAGCCCCGGCUAACUACGUGCCAGCAGCCGCGGUAAUACGUCGGGGGCAAGCGUUAUCCGGAUUCACUGGGUGUAAAGGGAGCGUAGACGGCGACGCAGGUCUGGAGUGAAAGCCCUGGGCCCAACCCCGGGACUGCUCUGGAAACUGCGGCGCUGGAGUACGGGAGGGGCAGGCGGAAUGCCUGGUGUAGCGGUGAAAUGCGUAGAUAUCAGGAGGAACACCGGCGGCGAAGGCGGCCUGCUGGACCGUGACUGACGUUGAGGCUCGAGAGCGUGGGGAGCAAACAGGAUUAGAUACCCUGGUAGUC